rnacentral:rRNA from 1 species
GGGCCCGCACAAGCGGUGGAGCAUGUGGUUUAAUUCGAUGAUACGCGAGGAACCUUACCAGGGCUUAAAUGUUAGGUGACAGAUCUAGAAAUAGAUUUUUCUUCGGACACUUAACAAGGUGCUGCAUGGUUGUCGUCAGCUCGUGCCGUGAGGUGUCAGGUUAAGUCCUAUAACGAGCGCAACCCCUGUUGUUAGUUGCCAGCGAGUAAUGUCGGGAACUCUAGCAAGACUGCCAGUGCAAACUGUGAGGAAGGUGGGGAUGACGUCAAAUCAUCACGGCCCUUACGUCCUGGGCUACACACGUGCUACAAUGGUAGGUACAGAGAGCAGCCAAUGCGCGAGCAUGAGCAAAUCCACAAACACUAUCUCAGUUCGGAUCGGAGUCUGCAACUCGACUGCGUGAAGUUGGAAUC